GCCAAUGAUGAUUCAAUCCAUCCGUUUAAGACUUUGUGGAGCCAAGUCCCUGUUUCAGGGAGAACCUACUUGGUGAAGCGAUGUUCAUAUGAUAUAAAUGGAUUUAACUGAGGU